CUACGGGAGGCACCAGUGGGAAUUUUGGCCAAUGGGGCAACCCUGAUUCAGCAAUGCCGGGUGAUGAAGAAGCCUUCGGGUUGUAAAGUUUUUUGUCAGGGAAGAAACGGUGAGGUCUAAUACACUUUACUAAUGACGGUACCUGAAGAAUAAGCACCGGCUAACUACGUGCCAGCAGCCGCGGUAAUACGUAGGGUGCAAGCGUUAAUCGGAAUUACUGGGCGUAAAGCGUGCGCAGGCGGUUAUAUAAGUCAGAUGUGAAAUCCCCGGGCUCAACCUGGGAACUGCAUUUGAGACUGUAUGGCUAGAGUGUGUCAGAGGGGGGUAGAAUUCCACGUGUAGCAGUGAAAUGCGUAGAUAUGUGGAGGAAUACCGAUGGCGAAGGCAGCCCCCUGGGAUAACACUGACGCUCAUGCACGAAAGCGUGGGGAGCAAACAGGAUUAGAUACCCUGGUAGUCCACGCCCUAAACGAUGUCUACUAGGUGUUGGGAGGGUAAAACCUUUUAGUACCGUAGCUAACGCGUGAAGUUGACCGCCUGGGGAGUACGGUCGCAAGAUUAAAACUCAAAGGAAUUGACGGGGACCCGCACAAGCGGUGGAUGAUGUGGAUUAAUUCGAUGCAACGCGAAAAACCUUACCUACCCUUGACAUGUACAGAAUGCCGAAGAGAUUUGGCGGUGCUCGCAAGAGAACUGUAACACAGGUGCUGCAUGGCUGUCGUCAGCUCGUGUCGUGAGAUGUUGGGUUAAGUCCCGCAACGAGCGCAACCCUUGUCAUUAGUUGCUACAUUAAGUUGAGCACUCUAAUGAGACUGCCGGUGACAAACCGGAGGAAGGUGGGGAUGACGUCAAGUCCUCAUGGCCCUUAUGGGUAGGGCUUCACACGUCAUACAAUGGUACAUACAGAGGGCCGCCAACCCGCGAGGGGGAGCUAAUCCCAGAAAGUGUAUCGUAGUCCGGAUUGUAGUCUGCAACUCGACUACAUGAAGUUGGAAUCGCUAGUAAUCGCGGAUCAGCAUGUCGCGGUGAAUACGUUCCCGGGUCUUGUACACACCGCCCGUCACACCAUGGGAGCGGGUUUCACCAGAAGUAGGUAGCUUAACCGCAAGGAGGGCGCUUACCACGGUGGGAUUCGUGACUGGGGUGAAGUCGUAACAAGGUA
rnacentral:rRNA from 1 species